AUUGAACGCUGGCGGCAUGCCUUACACAUGCAAGUCGAACGGCAGCACGGGUGCUUGCACCUGGUGGCGAGUGGCGAACGGGUGAGUAAUACAUCGGAACGUACCUUAUCGUGGGGGAUAACGCAGCGAAAGCUGUGCUAAUACCGCAUACGCCCUGAGGGGGAAAGCGGGGGAUCGCAAGACCUCGCGCGAUUAGACCGGCCGAUGCCUGAUUAGCUUGUUGGCGGGGUAAAAGCCCACCAAGGCGACGAUCAGUAGCUGGUCUGAGAGGACUAUCAGCCACACUGGGACUGAGACACGGCCCAGACUCCUACGGGAGGCAGCAGUGGGGAAUUUUGGACAAUGGGGGCAACCCUGAUCCAGCAAUGCCGCGUGAGUGAAGAGGCCUUCGGGUUGUAAAGCUCUUUUGUCAGGGAAGAAACACCGGCUCUAACACAGUCUGGGAAUGACGGUACCUGAAGAAUAAGCACCGGCUAACUACGUGCCAGCCGCCGCAGUAA
rnacentral:rRNA from 1 species